rnacentral:rRNA from 1 species
GGCGAGUUACGAUUUGAUGCAAGGUUAAGCAGUAAAUGUGGAGCCGUAGCGAAAGCGAGUCUGAAUAGGGCGUUUAGUAUUUGGUCGUAGACCCGAAACCAGGUGAUCUACCCUUGGUCAGGUUGAAGUUCAGGUAACACUGAAUGGAGGACCGAACCGACUUACGUUGAAAAGUGAGCGGAUGAACUGAGGGUAGCGGAGAAAUUCCAAUCGAACCUGGAGAUAGCUGGUUCUCUCCGAAAUAGCUUUAGGGCUAGCCUCAAGUGAUGAUUAUUGGAGGUAGAGCACUGUUUGGACGAGGGGCCCCUCUCGGGUUACCGAAUUCAGACAAACUCCGAAUGCCAAUUAAUUUAACUUGGGAGUCAGAACAUGGGUGAUAAGGUCCGUGUUCGAAAGGGAAACAGCCCAGACCACCAGCUAAGGUCCCAAAAUAUAUGUUAAGUGGAAAAGGAUGUGGCGUUGCCCAGACAACUAGGAUGUUGGCUUAGAAGCAGCCAUCAUUUAAAGAGUGCGUAAUAGCUCACUAGUCGAGUGACACUGCGCCGAAAAUGUACCGGGGCUAAACAUAUUACCGAAGCUGUGGAUUGUCCUUUGGACAAUGGUAGGAGAGCGUUCUAAGGGCGUUGAAGCAUGAUCGUAAGGACAUGUGGAGCGCUUAGAAGUGAGAAUGCCGGUGUGAGUAGCGAAAGACGGGUGAGAAUCCCGUCCACCGAUUGACUAAGGUUUCCAGAGGAAGGCUCGUCCGCUCUGGGUUAGUCGGGUCCUAAGCUGAGGCCGACAGGCGUAGGCGAUGGAUAACAGGUUGAUAUUCCUGUACCACCUAUAAUCGUUUUAAUCGAUGGGGGGACGCAGUAGGAUAGGCGAAGCGUGCGAUUGGAUUGCACGUCUAAGCAGUAAGGCUGAGUAUUAGGCAAAUCCGGUACUCGUUAAGGCUGAGCUGUGAUGGGGAGAAGACAUUGUGUCUUCGAGUCGUUGAUUUCACACUGCCGAGAAAAGCCUCUAGAUAGAAAAUAGGUGCCCGUACCGCAAACCGACACAGGUAGUCAAGAUGAGAAUUCUAAGGUGAGCGAGCGAACUCUCGUUAAGGAACUCGGCAAAAUGACCCCGUAACUUCGGGAGAAGGGGUGCUCUUUAGGGUUAACGCCCAGAAGAGCCGCAGUGAAUAGGCCCAAGCGACUGUUUAUCAAAAACACAGGUCUCUGCUAAACCGUAAGGUGAUGUAUAGGGGCUGACGCCUGCCCGGUGCUGGAAGGUUAAGAGGAGUGGUUAGCUUCUGCGAAGCUACGAAUCGAAGCCCCAGUAAACGGCGGCCGUAACUAUAACGGUCCUAAGGUAGCGAAAUUCCUUGUCGGGUAAGUUCCGACCCGCACGAAAGGCGUAACGAUUUGGGCACUGUCUCAACGAGAGACUCGGUGAAAUCAUAGUACCUGUGAAGAUGCAGGUUACCCGCGACAGGACGGAAAGACCCCGUGGAGCUUUACUGUAGCCUGAUAUUGAAAUUCGGCACAGCUUGUACAGGAUAGGUAGGAGCCUUUGAAACGUGAGCGCUAGCUUACGUGGAGGCGCUGGUGGGAUACUACCCUAGCUGUGUUGGCUUUCUAACCCGCACCACUUAUCG